UACGUAGGGUGCAAGCGUUGUCCGGAAUUAUUGGGCGUAAAGAGCUCGUAGGCGGUUUGUCGCGUCUGCUGUGAAAUCCCGAGGCUCAACCUCGGGCCUGCAGUGGGUACGGGCAGACUAGAGUGCGGUAGGGGAGAUUGGAAUUCCUGGUGUAGCGGUGGAAUGCGCAGAUAUCAGGAGGAACACCGGUGGCGAAGGCGGGUCUCUGGGCAAUAACUGACGCUGAGGAGCGAAAGCGUGGGGAGCGAACAGG
rnacentral:rRNA from 1 species